rnacentral:rRNA from 1 species
CAGCCGCCGCGGUAAUACGAAGGGGGCUAGCGUUGCUCGGAAUUACUGGGCGUAAAGGGAGCGUAGGCGGAUCGUUAAGUUGGGGGUGAAAGCCCGGGGCUCAACCUCGGAAUUGCCUUCAAUACUGGCGAUCUUGAGUAUGGAGGAGGUAUGUGGAACUCCGAGUGUAGAGGUGAAAUUCGUAGAUAUUCGGAAGAACACCAGUGGCGAAGGCGACAUACUGGUCCAUUACUGACGCUGAGGCUCGAAAGCGUGGGGAGCAAACAGGAUUAGAUACCCAAGUAGUCCCUGUCUCUUAUAA